UACGUAGGGUGCGAGCGUUGUCCGGAAUUACUGGGCGUAAAGAGCUCGUAGGUGGUUUGUCGCGUUGUUCGUGAAAUCUCACGGCUUAACUGUGAGCGUGCGGGCGAUACGGGCAGACUAGAGUACUGCGGGGGAGACUGGAAUUCCUGGUGUAGCGGUGGAAUGCGCAGAUAUCAGGAGGAACACCGGUGGCGAAGGCGGGUCUCUGGGCAGUAACUGACGUUGAGGAGCGAAAGCGUGGGGAGCGAACAGG
rnacentral:rRNA from 1 species